rnacentral:rRNA from 1 species
GGAAUAUUGGACAAUGGGGGCAACCCUGAUCCAGCAAUGCCGCGUGUGUGAAGAAGGCCUGCGGGUUGUAAAGCACUUUCAGAAGGGAAGAAAUCCUGAAGGUUAAUAUCCUUCAGGCUUGACAUUACCUACGAAAGAAGCACCGGCUAACUCCGUGCCAGCAGCAGCGGUAAAACGGAGGGUGCGAGCGUUAAUCGGAAUUACUUGGCGUAAAGCGCACGUAGGCGGUCUAGUAAGUCGGAUGUGAAAUCCCCGGGCUUAACCUGGGAAUUGCAUUCGAUACUGCUAAGCUAGAGUAUGGUAGAGGGUAGUGGAAUUCCGGGUGUAGCGGUGAAAUGCGUAGAUAUCCGGAGGAACACCAGUGGCGAAGGCGGCUACCUGGACCAAUACUGACGCUGAGGUGCGAAAGCGUGGGGAGCA